GCCGUGAGGUGUUGGGGUUAAGUCCCGCAACGAGCGCAACCCCUAUCUUUAGUUUGCCACCGAGUAAUGUCGGGCGACUCUAAAGAGACUGCCUACGCAAGUAGAGAGGAAGGUAGGGGGAGUGACGUCAAGUCAUCAUGGCCCUUACGUCCGGGGCGUACACACGUGAUACAAUGGCCGGUACAAAAGGGCAAGAUCGCGAGAUCAAGGAAAUCCCCAAAACCGGUACUCAGUUCGGAUUGGAGUCUGCAACUCGACUCCAUGAAGCUGGAAUCGCUAGUAAUCGUGGAUCAGCACGCCACGGUGAAUACGUUCCCGGGCCUUGUACACACCGCCCGUCAAGCCAUGGAAGCCGGGGGCGCCCGAAGCCGCUGAACAAGCG
rnacentral:rRNA from 1 species